UCACAUACACAUUGGGAGAAAAGGCUAGAGAUGGACCUGAUGAACCGGCUGGAGUAGAGGACGUGACCUGAUCAGGACCAGCGAAUCAGAGAGAGGCGAGCUGCAGAAACAUGUGCAGCUCGGGAUCUGCAGCAGAUCAGCAGAACAUGAAGCGGGCCGCAGAAUGAACCAACGGCGUUUGUCAAACCUAUGUUUCUUGAUUAACGUUCCUUGAGCUCCGUC
rnacentral:lncRNA from 1 species